UACGGAGGGUGCAAGCGUUGCUCGGAAUCAUUGGGCGUAAAGGGUGCGUAGGCGGCGCGGUAAGUCGGGUGUGAAAUCUUGGAGCUUAACUCCGAAACUGCAUUCGAUACUGCCGUGCUUGAGGACUGGAGAGGAGACUGGAAUUUACGGUGUAGCGGUGAAAUGCGUAGAUAUCGUAAGGAAGACCAGUGGCGAAGGCGGGUCUCUGGACAGUUCCUGACGCUGAGGCACGAAGGUCAGGGGAGCAAACGGG
rnacentral:rRNA from 1 species